GGGAAAUGGGCUGAUCUGUUGUUACUCUUGUCUAAUUCUGCUGGGCUUGCUAAAUCUGUGGACAAAGUGGAGUGAAGAGACAGGAAAAAGCAAGACAACAUAUCACUUCACCUUUUUAGCUUCUGCUGUUUGUUUCAUCUUUUUUAUUUAACAAAUUAAAUGCAUAAAAGUGGUCCUUCUUGCUCCACUUUUAACCAUCUUCUAUUACAUCUGACAGACACCUGGUUUCAGAAUGGUUUGUUCUUCCAGUCAUACUCUCAUGAGAUGGACAUGAGCUCAUAUGCAUCGUCUUACACUCCAAGCUUUUGUCUUUGGAGAGUCAGUUCUGAAAAGAAGUUCCUCUUUGAACCUGCUUUCCUAUGAUCUCUGUGUGCACCAGUGGUCACCCCCCCAAUAAAGAGCUGUAGAGGAGGAUCUACUCACCGCUUUAUGUCCGUGAGACUCCUGAGGUCUGGUGGAGCCACAAAAUCUUCAUGAGAUUUAUGAAGGCAUGAGAACUCUACGAGGAAUGGCACUUCAGGCCAAGGGAAUCCUCCCCAGUGUCCAAGGGCCAGAAUUAAGAAUCAAACACGGUAGCCUUGACUACACCACUCCACAUCUGGACAUACUGGCAUUGGUCCUCAGAAGAGGGGCCUUACUGGCUUGGUUGGAGCACAAGGUGAUGCUAUAUUCCAGCUUCCCAGCAGAAGAAGGAAUGGUUCUCCUCUAAGCAUGUUUUAUUAACUCAGAACACACGUUUCCAUUUAUUUAAACCACAUGGAUGCAUUUCAUAUUUUUAUUACUUUUCAUGACUGAGACCACCAUAAAUGCUUGCUAUGCAUCUUUGCAUAUUUUAGUUUCCUGAAGCAAUUUUCUCUUAUGUUAAGUAUAAGCUCCACAAAACACAUUAUUCAUUACAGACCUGGGUUGCCUUAUGCAGUAUGAUGUUUCCUCCGUACAUUUACUUAAAUGUCUUUUGUGAAACAGUCCUACAUAUAGCGAUAUUUUACCUGUAAACUGUUUGAAAAAGAAACCUUUAUAAUUAAACAUUGAUUAAGGUUUAAA